AUUCAUUCUAUCAAUUGACACCAAAGUCUGACACUUCCAAAACUAGCCCUAAAAUCUCUAAAACCCUCCCAUUCAUUUAUAAAAAAAUUCAAUUCCAAUCACAUUGAAUACAAGCUCUAUUCAAAAUUCACCAAACGCCCUAGGAAAAAAAAACUGAAAACUACUGAUUACAAUGAUCAUAUAUAGCCCCCCCAAAAAUUGCAAUUUGCAACUACUCAAAAAAAAGGUGAAACUUUUUUUUUUUUUGGGUGUCACCUUUUUUUUUUUGGGUGUGAAUUGAAAAUUCAAGAACUGAAGUGGGUAUUAAGAAAUAACUAAAAUUAGCAAGACCCAGAUAGCUGAAACUGUGAAAACGAUUGAAAAUGAAAGUUUUAUAGUAAGAAAAAAAAAACGUCACUGCUUGUGAAUUUGAUAGAGAGAGAGAUCAGCUGAUAAAAGUGAAGCAAUAGAAUCUAAGGUUUGAUCUGAUUAUUUGUUUUUGUUUUGGGCAAUGGGUGCAGAGAAGCAGCAAAAACACGCACACACAAAAGUGCUACAGAAGAUGACUGAUGAGAGAGAGAGGAGAAGAAAGGUGGACUAAGG
rnacentral:lncRNA from 1 species